rnacentral:rRNA from 1 species
AUUGAACGCUAGCGGGAUGCUUUACACAUGCAAGUCGAACGAGUGGCGGACGGGUGAGUAAUAUACCGGAACGUGCCCAGGAGCGGGGGAUAACUACGCGAAAGAGAGGAUAAUACCGCACACUAUUGGAGCGGCCGAGAUCGGAUUAGCUAGUUGGUGGGGGAAAGGCGCACCAAGGCAACGAUCGGUAGCGGGUUUGAGAGGACGACCAGCCACACUGGGACUGAGACACUGCCCAGACUCCUACGAGAGGCAGCAGUGGGGAAUUUUGGACAAUUGGGGAAACCCUGAUCCAGCCAUCCCGCGUGUAUAAGAAGGCCGUCGGGUUGUAAAGUACUUUUGGCAGAGAAGCGGUAUCUGCAGAAUAAGCACCGGCUAACUGCGUGCCAGCAGCCGCGGUAAUUC